UUUUAUUUAAUAAAUAUGCUUACAUUUGUAAUGAGAAUCUUAUCCUUUUGAAAAAUCAAGUUACCAUUCCAUUUCAUAUGUAGAAUGUGAACAGUUUGCCCGAGUCUGUCACCUUUGUUAUCCCUCGUGUGAAAGCAGUGCUAGGAAUUUUCUGUCUAUAUAUUUGCUUUGCUGGCAGAGGCAAAAACAGUAUAUUUUCAGAGCACAGUGGAAAAGGACUAUGGCUUAACUUCCAUUUUAUGUAGUGAGAGUCAUGGACAUACUUCAUUUAUAGGUUAAAAUAAUGUGGUGCCUGGCUGGUGGACCUGGAAUCCACUGGAUUUUCGGCAGCUACCUGCAUUUUCUUUUAUUACCCCUACUACCUAAUUUCCAUUAAGCCCACUUUGAUUUCCUUUCAGUUUCCUAAUUGGGGUCUGGAGUUGCUUUUUUUUUUUUUAAAUAGCCAUGCUUCUAGAAAUCCAGUUUUCUUUUUCCUUAGAAAUAAUAAUUGUUUAGUUAUUAAGCUAGAAAAAGCCCAAGGGUUUCUUUGAGAGCCCAGUUGCCUACCUCCCCCACCCCAGGUCCGUCCCCGACCGGGCCCCUUGCACCAUGUGUUCUCGCUGCCAGGCUCGCCUGCCCCCCACUGCCAUUCCCACCUGCACAUUUAAGUGCUCUGCAGUCACCGUCCCACUGUCUGCCCAGGUUUCCAAGUGUCUCUCCAAUGCCUAAGGCUUCACGACCCUUCCUGAUCCUUUCCACUGUCACCAUUCCCAGCCCAGUGUGUUUGUCAUGCCUUGUAACCUCCACUACACCUUGUACCUUUCCUUUCUCAGUGGCCACAUUCUGCCUUUCUGGAGUGAAUACUUGCUAUGGCCCUCGUCCCACACCCAGAACUCGAGCACUGAACCCUGUAGGCCAGAAACCAUCUUUUACUGAUAUGUUGAAUCCAGCACUGAGCCUCAGACUCAAUAAGUAACUGUUGAAUUGAACUAAAUCAAGCAUACCUUGUUUGGUCAAUCUGAAUAUUUCCCUCAAAAUUACUUAGAAGUCUUUCUUGAGAAAUGUCUUUUCCUAGCCAACCCAGCAGACUGUCUGACUUAAAACAAUGAUUGACAGACAGAAGAACGUGGCCAGAAAAAAAUGCAACAGAGAGGAUUAAAUGCAAUAUAACCAGGGAUGAGCUACUUGUGAUAAUAAUCUGGAGCGGGGAUGCAAGUAGGGAAGACGGACGUAGACGGCCCAUGUGUUGAUCGCUGUUGAUGGUAGGUGAUGGUGACGGCUCAUGGGAGUUCCUUUUACUGUUCUCUCUACUUAGGUUUACACUCAGCAUUUUUUGUGAUGAAAAGGUUUGAAGACGACGACGGAAGACGGAGAAGCAGCAGCUGAUCUGCAGACUCCGAGGAGGUCCCAGGAAGAGGUGUCACCCACCAAGAUCUUCCGGGACAGGAAAGCCCUGCGAUAUCUCUUAUAUCACACCAAACAGAGCCCCACGCCAAGAAAAGAGCUGCCCGCACCUCACAGAAGCCAUGCUAGUGGACGUUUCUCCACUCUGCAAGCCUCUCAGUGCAGCGGAGGCCAGCCCAGACCAUCCUCUGCCCAGAGCAGCUGCAUUCUAAAUGACCCCUCAGAGAGCCCUCCGGAUGGCCGCCUCUCCCACCGGUCCCUGCAAUCACAUAAAAAACACUCAUUGCAGCCAAGAUGCACAAAGCACGGUAUUGAUUUCAUACUCGGGUUUUUCCAAAACAAAUCAUCAACCCACACCAAUUAUGUCCAAUCAGUUUUAUGGAUAAAGAAGCCUGAGACUCUCCAACAGAAGAGCUUGAGUUUCCCUUUUUACUCUUGUGCUGGGUGUCCUUUUCCUACCUCCAGACCAUGACAAGAAUAUUUGUAAAGUACAUGAGGAGUAGUCCUUUUGCCUAAUGUUGACAGACAAGAGGAAGAUUCCAGGGAGAAAUGCCACAGCAGCAAAUGAAUAUGAAUGAUGCUUUUCCACUUUGUGCUUAUAAAAUGCCUUUGUACCAGAAUCUCAAAGCUCUCCAGGAAGCAAGGCUUUGACUGGGACUUUCACUCAGGGUAAACAUGAGUGGUCAGAGCUUCCCAAGUCAUUUGUGAUAAAGAACAAAAGUCCGGAUACUUUUAAAAUGCAAUAUUCUUGCCUUCUGGGUAGUAAACAAAGUGUGCAGAUGGAUAAUGACAUCUGUGGAUUCUGGCUCCACUUCCUAGAGAGAAAAAAAACAUGUAAAUAAAUAUGUAAAAAAUUGUCAUAUGUGGAUGACACCGUUGGUUCAUCCAGUAGUUACCAUUCUGUCCAACAUUCACGAGCAAUGGAUUCUAUUACUGGGUGCCUUGUGACUGCAUGACACUGAGAAAGUAAAAUAUAUUUAUCUUCAAUGCACGGGGGAAGAUAAAUGCUAUAGAAAUAUUUAGUAAAAAGGUCCAGUCAGUGGCUUUGACACUUGAUGGUUUUGCACUAAGCAACGCUGUCCUUUUGUUCUCUCCAUUGGAAGCCUCCUUGUAAAUGUUUAAUAGCUAAGGGACUCAAUAGGGUCUGCAAAGGUCAGGCCCUUCACUGGAAAGGCAGAGGGGAACUCACAAGCAGUCUCUAUCAGAUUGAUUGGAAGGUUCAUUUGAGAAUUUUUUCCUUCUCAUCCUUAGCUUAAGGUGCAUGUGCAGCAUGAAUAACUGCCUGGGCUCCAGCCACCCACAUGCCUGAAGACCAGACAUGAGUGACUUUGAAACUCUUCCUGGGAUUCAUUUAGGAUAUUAAUCAGCUUCAGAAGAAAACUCACAAAGACUCUAAGAACAAUUCUGUUGCAAAAGUGAUACCUAGCAGAGACAGUCUACCCUUGCAGUCACUUGCACUGUAUCCUGAAAGUCAAUGCUAAGAGCUUGGAAAAGAAUUCGAGUUCAUCAGGUGUCCAGAAAAUAAACUCCUUCAAAUGCAGUCAAAAUAGUUUCAAUAACUUCAAAUACUCUGCUUGUUAUGAAUCUACAGAGCAGCAAUGAAAUAAUUAUCAGUUAAUGAUUAAAUGUCAGAUAGCUAUAACCAAGGGUGUCUUGCUAUUACACUGAAAAAGUGUGUAUUAAGGUUUUGUUGGGGUGCAGAAAAUGAUUCCCCAAAAUAUAGUGCUUUGGCAUGCCGAGUACUUUGAAAAUCGAAAGGUUUUAGAAAUAAGCCUUAGACCCAAGCUCUCUUUCUGACUUUUCUUACCUCCUUGUUUCUCUGAUCCUCUUUCUAGAAGCACCUGGAGGGACUGGACCGACUCUCUGGAAUUUUCUUAUCUAACAAAGCUUCUUUCCAAAAACAAGACAAAAAGGCAAUAGUCGUAAGAACUCCCUUCUUUAGGAAUCUCAUCAAAUGGCCAGGAAAGAAGAGACGAGACAAAGCUGUCACUACACCCAGACUGCUCAUCUGUUCUCUUGAAGGCAGUACUGACAACCUUUGUGCAAGGUGACAUUUCACCCAUCCUCCCAACACCUCCCCCAGAGCUCAGAGGAACUUUCGUCAUUUACUCCUACACACCUCAUCCCCCACUUACCUACGAAGAGAGGGUAUACGGGCAUCUGGACCCUGCUGGGUUAUGAGGUCAUUACUCUUCUGCAAUUCCCCGUGGUAUGCACGUUAAAAUAAACGCAUGCCUUUUCUCCUGUU